rnacentral:rRNA from 1 species
CCUACGGGUGGCAGCAGUAGGGAAUUUUCGUCAAUGGGCGCAAGCCUGAACGAGCAAUGCCGCGUGAACGAUGAAGGUCUUCGGAUCUGAAAGUUCUGUUUAAGGGGAAAAAGAGCGGAGAGAGGAAAUGGUCUCCGAUUGAUAUUACCCUUCGAGGAAGUCACGGCUAACUCCGUGCCAGCAGCCGCGGUAAUACGUAGGUGGCGAGCGUUAUCCGGAUUGGUUGGGCGUAAAGGGUGCGUAGGCGGCCUGCUAAGUCUGGAGUGAAAGGUACCGGCUCAACCGGUACAGGCUCUGGGAACUGGCGGGCUAGAGAGCAGGAGAGGGCGGUGGAACUCCAUGGGUAGCGGUAAAAUGCGUAGAUAUAUGGAAGAACACCAGUGGCGAAGGCGGGCGUCUGGCCUGUUGACUGACGCUGAGGCACGAAAGCGUGGGGAGCAAAUAGGAUUAGAUACCCCUGUAGUC